GAGAUAGUCUCCGUCGGUGACACUCAAAAAAUGGCGGCACUUCCCUACUCAGAACAGAAAGUGCCCCCACAGUUUGAGUUCCACAGACGGAG
rnacentral:pre_miRNA from 1 species